UACAGCAAUAUCAGGUUGAAAUAUCGUUUCCUGUACAAUCACCGAAGUUAAGCAACGUCGUGUCUGGUUAGUACCUAGAUGGGUGACCGCCCGGGAAUACCGCGUGUUGUAG